GGAGUUACAAAGGACGACAUUAGACGAAUCAUCUGGAAAGAUGAAUCAAAGAAGGUAAUAAUCCUGUAGUCGAAAAUGUUGUCUCUCUUGAGUGGAUCCUGAGUACGACGGAGCACGUGAAAUUCCGUCGGAAUCUGGGAGGACCAUCUCCUAAGGCUAAAUACUCUCUAGUGACCGAUAGUGAACCAGUACCGUGAGGGAAAGGUGAAAAGCACCCCGGAAGGGGAGUGAAAUAGAACCUGAAACCGUGUGCUUACAAGUAGUCAGAGCCCGUUAAUGGGUGAUGGCGUGCCUUUUGUAGAAUGAACCGGCGAGUUACGAUUUGAUGCAAGGUUAAGCAGUAAAUGUGGAGCCGUAGCGAAAGCGAGUCUGAAUAGGGCGUUUAGUAUUUGGUCGUAGACCCGAAACCAGGUGAUCUACCCUUGGUCAGGUUGAAGUUCAGGUAACACUGAAUGGAGGACCGAACCGACUUACGUUGAAAAGUGAGCGGAUGAACUGAGGGUAGCGGAGAAAUUCCAAUCGAACCUGGAGAUAGCUGGUUCUCUCCGAAAUAGCUUUAGGGCUAGCCUCAAGUGAUGAUUAUUGGAGGUAGAGCACUGUUUGGACGAGGGGCCCCUCUCGGGUUACCGAAUUCAGACAAACUCCGAAUGCCAAUUAAUUUAACUUGGGAGUCAGAACAUGGGUGAUAAGGUCCGUGUUCGAAAGGGAAACAGCCCAGACCACCAGCUAAGGUCCCAAAAUAUAUGUUAAGUGGAAAAGGAUGUGGCGUUGCCCAGACAACUAGGAUGUUGGCUUAGAAGCAGCCAUCAUUUAAAGAGUGCGUAAUAGCUCACUAGUCGAGUGACACUGCGCCGAAAAUGUACCGGGGCUAAACAUAUUACCGAAGCUGUGGAUUGUCCUUUGGACAAUGGUAGGAGAGCGUUCUAAGGGCGUUGAAGCAUGAUCGUAAGGACAUGUGGAGCGCUUAGAAGUGAGAAUGCCGGUGUGAGUAGCGAAAGACGGGUGAGAAUCCCGUCCACCGAUUGACUAAGGUUUCCAGAGGAAGGCUCGUCCGCUCUGGGUUAGUCGGGUCCUAAGCUGAGGCCGACAGGCGUAGGCGAUGGAUAACAGGUUGAUAUUCCUGUACCACCUAUAAUCGUUUUAAUCGAUGGGGGGACGCAGUAGGAUAGGCGAAGCGUGCGAUUGGAUUGCACGUCUAAGCAGUAAGGCUGAGUAUUAGGCAAAUCCGGUACUCAUUAAGGCUGAGCUGUGAUGGGGAGAAGACAUUGUGUCUUCGAGUCGUUGAUUUCACACUGCCGAGAAAAGCCUCUAGAUAGAAAAUAGGUGCCCGUACCGCAAACCGACACAGGUAGUCAAGAUGAGAAUUCUAAGGUGAGCGAGCGAACUCUCGUUAAGGAACUCGGCAAAAUGACCCCGUAACUUCGGGAGAAGGGGUGCUCUUUAGGGUUAACGCCCAGAAGAGCCGCAGUGAAUAGGCCCAAGCGACUGUUUAUCAAAAACACAGGUCUCUGCUAAACCGUAAGGUGAUGUAUAGGGGCUGACGCCUGCCCGGUGCUGGAAGGUUAAGAGGAGUGGUUAGCUUCUGCGAAGCUACGAAUCGAAGCCCCAGUAAACGGCGGCCGUAACUAUAACGGUCCUAAGGUAGCGAAAUUCCUUGUCGGGUAAGUUCCGACCCGCACGAAAGGCGUAACGAUUUGGGCACUGUCUCAACGAGAGACUCGGUGAAAUCAUAGUACCUGUGAAGAUGCAGGUUACCCGCGACAGGACGGAAAGACCCCGUGGAGCUUUACUGUAGCCUGAUAUUGAAAUUCGGCACAGCUUGUACAGGAUAGGUAGGAGCCUUUGAAACGUGAGCGCUAGCUUACGUGGAGGCGCUGGUGGGAUACUACCCUAGCUGUGUUGGCUUUCUAACCCGCACCACUUAUCGUGGUGGGAGACAGUGUCAGGCGGGCAGUUUGACUGGGGCGGUCGCCUCCUAAAAGGUAACGGAGGCGCUCAAAGGUUCCCUCAGAAUGGUUGGAAAUCAUUCAUAGAGUGUAAAGGCAUAAGGGAGCUUGACUGCGAGACCUACAAGUCGAGCAGGGUCGAAAGACGGACUUAGUGAUCCGGUGGUUCCGCAUGGAAGGGCCAUCGCUCAACGGAUAAAAGCUACCCCGGGGAUAACAGGCUUAUCUCCCCCAAGAGUUCACAUCGACGGGGAGGUUUGGCACCUCGAUGUCGGCUCAUCGCAUCCUGGGGCUGUAGUCGGUCCCAAGGGUUGGGCUGUUCGCCCAUUAAAGCGGUACGCGAGCUGGGUUCAGAACGUCGUGAGACAGUUCGGUCCCUAUCCGUCGUGGGCGUAGGAAAUUUGAGAGGAGCUGUCCUUAGUACGAGAGGACCGGGAUGGACAUACCUCUGGUGUACCAGUUGUCGUGCCAACGGCAUAGCUGGGUAGCUAUGUGUGGACGGGAUAAGUGCUGAAAGCAUCUAAGCAUGAAGCCCCCCUCAAGAUGAGAUUUCCCAACUUCGGUUAUAAGAUCCCUCAAAGAUGAUGAGGUUAAUAGGUUCGAGGUGGAAGCAUGGUGACAUGUGGAGCUGACGAAUACUAA
rnacentral:rRNA from 1 species